UGGGUAACCUGCCUCAAAGAGGGGAAUAGCCUCCCGAAAGGGAGAUUAAUACCGCAUAAUAUGUUUAGGUCGCAUGACUUUAACAUCAAAGGAUUUUCUUUUAGAAAUUCCACUUUGAGAUGGACCCGCGGCGCAUUAGCUAGUUGGUGAGGUAACGGCUCACCAAGGCAACGAUGCGUAGCCGACCUGAGAGGGUNAUCGGCCACAUUGGAACUGAGACACGGUCCAGCUCCGUAGGAGG
rnacentral:rRNA from 1 species